UGAGGAACAUGACCUUCGGCGGGGGAUAGCCGGCCCAACGGCCGGGUAAUACCGCGUACGACCACUUUGGGACAUCCCUCGGUGGUGAAAGCAGCAAUGCGCCGAUGGAGUGCCUCGCGGCCUAUCAGCUAGUUGGUGUGGGUAAUGGCCCACCAAGGCGACGACGGGUAGCCGGCCUGAGAGGGUGACCGGCCACACUGGGACUGAGACACGGCCCAGACUCCUACGGGAGGCAG
rnacentral:rRNA from 1 species